UUGAUAACAGCAUGCUUAGGUCCUCCCCAUCACAGAGAAGUAAUCAAGUAAAUACACUGGUCUAUAUGAUCUUCAAAAAAAAAGAAAAAAAGCCUUCAUUCAGCUCGAAAAUGCCAAUUCAACAAACAAAAUUAAGUUCCAAUACCAAAUCGCGAUGCAUAAAUUGAAUUUAAAGGAAAAAUUGCAUUGCCAUAGUGACAGCUAAAAGAACAUGCUUAUGAGUUGUGGCACAAAUCUUAAACCUCCAAUGGAAGUUUCUAAGGAAUUAAAACCAAAACCCUAAUCAACGGAACAGUAAAUGUAACCGCAGAUACUCUGUACUAUUAAACCAAAAAUUCAAAACCCACGGUACAG
rnacentral:misc_RNA from 1 species